rnacentral:misc_RNA from 1 species
GAAACCCUCACCCCUGCGAUGUCAAAGUCGUGGAUGGUGGAUUUGGACGCUGCCGUUGUUGGCUCGUCUCGAAAUGCAUUAGCCGUGCGCGUCGCGCCAGCGCCUCUCGGUGUGAUAAUUAUCUACGCCGCUCAGAGUGCCAGUGCCUAAGACCGUGGCUCAUAGCCGUCUUUGGACAAUUCACUUUAACGCU